rnacentral:rRNA from 1 species
UACAGAGGGGGCAAGCGUUGUUCGGAAUUACUGGGCGUAAAGGGCGCGUAGGCGGCCCGCUAAGUCGAACGUGAAAUCCCCGAGCUCAACUCGGGAACUGCGUCCGAUACUGGCGGGCUUGAAUCCGGGAGAGGGAUGCGGAAUUCCAGGUGUAGCGGUGAAAUGCGUAGAUAUCUGGAGGAACACCGGUGGCGAAGGCGGCAUCCUGGACCGGCAUUGACGCUGAGGCGCGAAAGCUAGAGGAGCAAACGGG